GUAGCAGCAGGCAGAGAGAGAGAGAGAGAGAGAGAUGGCGAGGAACAUGAUGGAGCUCGUGAGAAGGGGAAGGAGCGGGUUGCCUCUUCUCCGAAUGGCCUCGCUCUUCUCUACUUAACGAGCGGUGGAUCCUGCGGCGGCUUCUCUGAAUCAACAAGGAAGCCACGCAACGAAGCUUAUUGGGAGGACGCCGAUGGUGUACCUGAACGAAGUGACUGAAGGUUGUCAUGCACAGAUCGCAGCAAAGCUGGGCUUUUUGGCAACCUUCCUUCAGCGUGAAGGACAGGUGUGACAUGUUGCCCUGUCUCUCAGCUUAUUGGGAGGAGGCCGAUGGUGUACCUGAACAAAGUGACUGAAGGUUGUCAUGCACAGAUCGCAGCAAAGCUGGGCUUUUUGGCAACCUUCCUUCAGCGUGAAGGACAGGUGUGACAUGUUGCCCUGUCUCUCAGCUUAUUGGGAGGAGGCCGAUGGUGUACCUGAACAAAGUGACUGAAGGCUGUCAUGCACAGAUCGCAGCAAAGCUGGACUUUUUGCAACCUUCCUUCAGCGUGAAGGACAGGUGUGACAUGUUGCCCUGUCACUUGUCUUCAUGUAGUCCGCGAGAAGUGGGCUUGUCCAACGUCUGAUUGAUAGGCGAUUGCUCAUCGCCUGCUUCUCUUUCUCUUCUCUUCAGGCCGGCUGUGGCCAUGAUAGAAGAUGCUGAGAAGAAUGAGGUGAUGACUCCUGGCAAGGUUGUCACUCUUUGUUUUAUGUCCUAUCCUUUCUGACCCA